GACGGUGUGGACUUGCUUUCUCUGCUGCUAGGAGGUUCUUACGAAUACCAGGCCAAAAGCUGAUGAAAGCAUUGAGCCGAAUCAAAGAUCAGAUGGGCAAGGGCUGAGAUGUGUGAGCAUGGCAUGGCAUGGCAUGGCAUCCUCUCUGCUUUUCGGGUUAGAAGGAACUGGACGUCUUGCAAAUUGUUUAUGACCGUCAUCCUCCCUAGAGGUGGUCAUCGCCAAAUUUGGAAUCGGAAUAAGGUCAGAUUGAUUCAAUUUGAAACUGAAAAUUAAUUAAAUUUAAAUUGAU
rnacentral:misc_RNA from 1 species